CCUACGGGCGGCUGCAGUGGGGAAUAUUGCACAAUGGGCGCAAGCCUGAUGCAGCAACGCCGCGUGAAUGAUGAAGGCCUUCGGGUCGUAAAGUUCUGUCCAAAGGGAAGAAUAAAAUGACGGUACCUUUGGAGGAAGCCCCGGCUAACUACGUGCCAGCAGCCGCGGUAAUACGUAGGGGGCAAGCGUUAUCCGGAAUCACUGGGCGUAAAGGGAGCGUAGGCGGUUUGACAAGCCAGAGGUGAAAGGCAAUAGCUUAACUAUUGUAAGCCUUUGGAACUGUCGAACUUGAGUGCAGGAGAGGAAAGUGGAAUUCCUAGUGUAGCGGUGAAAUGCGUAGAUAUUAGGAGGAACACCAGUGGCGAAGGCGACUUUCUGGACUGUAACUGACGCUGAGGCUCGAAAGCGUGGGGAGCGAACAGGAUUAGAUACCCCGGUAGUC
rnacentral:rRNA from 2 species